rnacentral:misc_RNA from 1 species
AAGGAUCCUUACAGAAACAAGUGAGGAAAAAACUGCCAAAAAGUGUAUGAAUCCUCAACAUUUUACAGACAGACAACACUGGGAAAAACAACCCUUCUUCAGAAUGUAUUAGAAUAAUAAAAUACAGACAGGAGUGAGACACUAAUACGCAACUCACACGUCUUCAUCCUUACAGCUUCGAAGCUGCAUCCAUAUCUAAAUACCAAACCAAUUCUCCUUCGGGUGAAACCAUCUGCACAGGCAGCAGAUCAGAACUUUUAUCAUCGCCUAGUGAUUUCUGCACUACAUCUGCCUUCCCAGCACCUACUAUAGCAAGUGCAAUAUUUGCAGAUGAGUUUAUUACAGGGAAUGUAAAUGUAAUUCUGUUCGGUGGAGGUUUUGGAGAGUCCUUGAUGAAGGUGACCCACUUUUCUUUCUCAUGGACAAGAGGAUGCCCCGGAAACAAGGAAGCUAUAUGUCCGUCUGGACCCAUACCCAAAAGCAUUACAUCAAAUUUUGGAAAUCCACUCUCUUUAGAGAUGUCUACAAUCUUGCUCUUAACUAAGUGCCUUAGACAAGUCUCGUAAUCAUCUGCCGCAGCCUCUGCUGAUAAUGCAUCAUUUAUGGCAUACACAUGACCAGCCGGAAUAGGUAUCUUGGAUAGAAAACCAUUAUAAGCAAGCAAAUAAUUGCUGUCAGGAUGAUCCUUUGGAACCACUCUCUCAUCCACCCAGAAAAUGUGCCAUUUGGACCAGUCUAUUGAAUUAAUAUAUGGUGGCUCCACCAAUUUCCUGAGAGACUUGAUAAGUGAACCACCAGAAACAACCACAGUAAAAGCAUCUCUCUCUUUGCAAAAUUUCUCCGAUAAAUCGGCAGUGUACUUGGCUAGAGCCGUAGCAAGUUCCUCCUCGGAAUCGUACAGUUUCACUUCCGCUUUACUUUUCCCGGUAACACUCUCAGCCAUUGAUGCUUUUGUACGACACUGAGAUCUCCAGGAAUUUGAGCUUGUCCGAUGAGGGUGAGAGCAAAAAAGUGGCUUUCCAGCAACAGAGAAAGAGGUCAACAGAAUAGAUCGGCGGAUAGGAGAGAAUCGGGUAGGUGAGAUGCUUGAGAGAAUGGGAGAAGAGGAGGCCAGGCUCACUGCCAUGGUAUUAUUAAAUAAGAAUGAAGUGACUGCUCCAUCGGCGACACACAAUGAAACAAGUUAAAGUCUGGUGGAGGUUUUGGGUUGGUGAGCAGCUGGGCGUGGCAUUCAAUGUCGU